GACGAACGCUGGCGGCGUGCUUUAGACAUGCAAGUCGAACGAGAUCUUCGGAUCUAGUGGCGAACGGCGGAGUAAUACAUAAACAACGUGCCCUGAAGACUGGGAUAUACGGUCGAAAGGCCGAGCAAUACCGGAUGUGGCCGAGACUAGGCAUCUAGACUCGAUUAAAUGGUUUUUCGCUUCAGGAGCGGUUUAUGACUCAUCAGCUAGUUGGUAGGGUAAUGGCCUACCAAGGCUACGACGGGUAGGGGGUCUGAGAGGAUGAUCCCCCCGAGUGGGACUGAGACACGGCCCACACACCUACGGGUGGCAGCAGUUUGGAAUCUUGCCCAAUGGGGGAAACCCUGAGGCAGCGACGCCGCGUGGAGGAUGAAGGAUUUAGGUCUGUAAACUCUUUGCCAGGAAAGACUUAGGACGUACCUGGCGAAUAAGCUCCGGCUAACUACGUGCCAGCAGCCGCGGUAAU
rnacentral:rRNA from 1 species